GCUGGGUGUGAUGGCACAUGUCUGCAGUCCCAGCUACUUAGGAGACUGAGGCAGGAGGAUUGCUUGAGCCCAGGAAGUCUAGGUCCAUCACCUGGGCAACAUAGUGAGACUGUUUUAU
rnacentral:sRNA from 1 species